rnacentral:lncRNA from 1 species
CUCCUGCCUAGGCUGACAGCUCAGGCCCAGCUGCUGCUGGGGACCACCCCCAUCAUCGGAAAAACACUGGAGAAUGACUAAGAUCAAAUGUCUUUCUACCGUGUGGGGGAGGGGGGGCUCCAGCAAGCAUUCCCAGACAGACGGAGCAGCCAAGGACCUGGGAGCGUGUCUCCUAGGAUACAGAUUCAGCAAGGCUGGGAGUGUCUGAGGUCGCACAGCACAACAGCAGUGGCAGAGCUGGGACAGGGGACCCCAGGGCUCUGCCACUGCGUCAGGUCCUGCUCCCCAUCCCUUGUAAGGGGUUGCCGUGCAGACAGUGGAAAGCCCUGGGAAGCCAUUACUCAGAGUGUGGGUCCCCAGGGCCUCCUUGGGCCAGCCAGGCUGCUGCAAACACAGACAGGAAGCAAGCCUGAUGCCCCUCCACCCUCAGACAGUGUGGUGAGGCCUGGACACGUGCAAGCCUCCAGCAACUCAUUUUUCUGAGUGACCUCAGACAGACGGCCCUCUGUGUAAAGCCACCACGGGGCCUGCUCAGGGCCAUCUUCCUCCCUGGUCAGAGGGGUCAGCCGCUUGGGGUGGCCCAGACCUCAGAGUGGGAGAUAGAUAGGGUUAAAGGCCUGCGUGGCUAGGGCAUAUGCCUUUAGGCCAGUCGUGUCUCUCUCAGAGCCUUGGGCUUCUUAUCUGACAAUGGGGUACUGACUCCAGUCCCACAGAGCACGUUGAUGAUUAAAGGGGGUGUGAUGUGUGAUCAGAGAGAAUGGGAAACUGGGGAGCAGUGGGCAUCCCAGCACCCUUGGUACCACUGGUAGCAGCGACUCCCUCCAUUCCUCCUGUGUAGGGGCCAGUCCUGGGACAGACACUUGCUGAUUGCUUCAGCCUCUGUUUCUUGCUCUCAAUCCCCAAGGAGUGAUGUCCCUUCCUCCCAGCACCCACAAGCCAUGAGUGAUCAUGUGGCCCAAGGCAGUGCCCUCAUGCCCCCACAUGUACUCUCCAGGACCACCAUUCACGUUACAGUCUGAAUGUGUAUGGGGGCACCCUGGACCUCUCCGACCCUCACUGUCCCCCACUUGGAGAAGGGGGAUAACCCUUUCCAGGAGUAGCACUUGUGAGCAGGUUAUAAAAGUGUCAAGGCCAAGGCUCAUGGCCAGAUGUAAGGGCUGGGCCUUGUCUAGCCCCUUCCUCAGCCUCCCCACCCCUAGCCAG